rnacentral:rRNA from 1 species
CACGUAGGCGGAUCGUUAAGUCGGGGGUGAAAUCCUGGAGCUCAACUCCAGAACUGCCUUCGAUACUGGCGAUCUAGAGUCCGGAAGAGGUGAGUGGAACUCCUAGUGUAGAGGUGGAAUUCGUAGAUAUUAGGAAGAACACCAGUGGCGAAGGCGGCUCACUGGUCCGGUACUGACGCUGAGGUGCGAAAGCGUGGGAGCAAACA